rnacentral:rRNA from 1 species
GGGUUGUGAGGUUAAGCGACUAAGCGUACACGGUGGAUGCCCUGGCAGUCAGAGGCGAUGAAGGGCGUGCUAAUCUGCGAUAAGCGCCGGUAAGGUGAUAUGAACCGUUAUAACCGGCGAUACCCGAAUGGGGAAACCCAGUGUGAUUCGUCACACUAUCAUUAACUGAAUCCAUAGGUUAAUGAGGCGAACCGGGGGAACUGAAACAUCUAAGUACCCCGAGGAAAAGAAAUCAACCGAGAUUCCCCCAGUAGCGGCGAGCGAACGGGGAGGAGCCCAGAGCCUGAAUCAGCAUGUGUGUUAGUGGAAGCGUCUGGAAAGUCGCGCGAUACAGGGUGACAGCCCCGUACACAAAAGCGCAUGUGUUGUGAGCUCGAUGAGUAGGGCGGGACACGUGGUAUCCUGUCUGAAUAUGGGGGGACCAUCCUCCAAGGCUAAAUACUCCUGACUGACCGAUAGUGAACCAGUACCGUGAGGGAAAGGCGAAAAGAACCCCGGCGAGGGGAGUGAAAAAGAACCUGAAACCGUGUACGUACAAGCAGUGGGAGCACCCUUCGGGGUGUGACUGCGUACCUUUUGUAUAAUGGGUCAGCGACUUAUAUUCUGUAGCAAGGUUAACCGAAUAGGGGAGCCGGAGGGAAACCGAGUCUUAAUUGGGCGUUAAGUUGCAGGGUAUAGACCCGAAACCCGGUGAUCUAGCCAUGGGCAGGUUGAAGGUUGGGUAACACUAACUGGAGGACCGAACCGACUAAUGUUGAAAAAUUAGCGGAUGACCUGUGGCUGGGGGUGAAAGGCCAAUCAAACCGGGAGAUAGCUGGUUCUCCCCGAAAGCUAUUUAGGUAGCGCCUCGUGAAUUCAUCUCCGGGGGUAGAGCACUGUUUCGGCUAGGGGGCCAUCCCGGCUUACCAACCCGAUGCAAACUGCGAAUACCGGAGAAUGUUAUCACGGGAGACACACGGCGGGUGCUAACGUCCGUCGUGAAGAGGGAAACAACCCAGACCGCCAGCUAAGGUCCCAAAGUCAUGGUUAAGUGGGAAACGAUGUGGGAAGGCCCAGACAGCCAGGAUGUUGGCUUAGAAGCAGCCAUCAUUUAAAGAAAGCGUAAUAGCUCACUGGUCGAGUCGGCCUGCGCGGAAGAUGUAACGGGGCUAAACCAUGCACCGAAGCUGCGGCAGCGACACUGUGUGUUGUUGGGUAGGGGAGCGUUCUGUAAGCCUGUGAAGGUGUGUCGUGAGGCAUGCUGGAGGUAUCAGAAGUGCGAAUGCUGACAUAAGUAACGAUAAAGCGGGUGAAAAGCCCGCUCGCCGGAAGACCAAGGGUUCCUGUCCAACGUUAAUCGGGGCAGGGUGAGUCGACCCCUAAGGCGAGGCCGAAAGGCGUAGUCGAUGGGAAACGGGUUAAUAUUCCCGUACUUGGUGUUACUGCGAAGGGGGGACGGAGAAGGCUAUGUUGGCCGGGCGACGGUUGUCCCGGUUUAAGCGUGUAGGUGUGUGUUCCAGGUAAAUCCGGUUCACUUUAACACUGAGGCGUGACGACGAGGCACUACGGUGCUGAAGCAACAAAUGCCCUGCUUCCAGGAAAAGCCUCUAAGCAUCAGGUAACAUCAAAUCGUACCCCAAA